UCCUUUCUCAGAACAAGAUAGUGCUGUGUGUAGGAAAAUCACCUAACUCUUGUCAGUGUUUAUCAGAUGUGGAGAGAAAACCUGCUUCUCUCUUUGUCAUGUGACCCAUCGCUCCUGCUGAAAUCGUGCCAUCAGCUGAGGGGUGACUGGGUUUCCCACCCACAACAAGGGUUCAGAACAGCACAUGUGGCUUUCCUGCAAUGGGAUCGUCCUUCAAGAGGACCUCACAGGCUCUCCACCCGGACUGUGACGUAAGCAGCUGCAGCAGCCUUGGAUGUUUCUGGAUAACCAGCCCUAUGAGAACAGCUUUAAAAUAGGAGACUGGCAUUGUGAUGAAGUGUGGACUUCGCUGUCAUAUAGACCUGGAUUUAAAUCCUGGCUUCCGUGUUUAUGGAUGACGUUGGACAAGUCAUUUAACCUCCUUAAGUCUCAGAGUUCUCAUUAUGGAAAUGGAGCUCUUAAUAGUACCUACCCCGUAGUGUGGUUGUGAGGGUUGAGAUCAUCUAUGUUCAAAGUGCUUAUUAUACAGAGACUGGGACAUGUUAAAAAUGCAGCUGCAUCUGUGCAGAAACCAGGUGUUGUCUGUGAGUUCUGCCUCGCUGGCCAGAGGUGGAAGGAAGGAGGAAAGGAGAGGGGCCUCCAUACUUCCAGAGCCCCACUGGGGGUUACCUUCGCUUGCCCCCACUCUUUUUGUCUUGCUCUGAGGAUGCCAGGACUUUAAGGACAUUGUCAGCAAGCACAGAAAGAAUCUCAGUCAUCUGGACUGCUUGGUGCUAUAUGAAAAUCUCUGAGAACCUUCAAGAGCCCAAAAACAGUUCUCCUCCAUGCUGUAUGCCAUGGUCAGUGGUUAAAGAGAACAUUCUGUUCCACUCCUCCAGCUCUGCCUUAGAAACCCAAGCCCUGCACUCCAAGGCUCCUGGCAUCGUACACCAGCACCAGCAAUUUUCUGCCAAAAGCAUCAGCCAAAAUCUAUUCUAUCUAUUUCAGUUCCUCUCUUUUCAUCGGAUUGUAUUUUUACAGGUGAUUGCUGAUUCUCACACUGCUCUUCAGAUUCAUGUACAGCUGUGGUCUGAAUGUGUGUGUUUUCUCAAAAUUCAAGUUUAAAACUUAAUCCUCAAUGUGAUAGUAUCAACAGCUGCGGCCUUUUGGAAAGUGAAGGUGGAGCCCUCGUGAGUGGGAUUAGAGCUCUUAUAAAAGAGAUUGAAGGGAGCUACCUAGCCCUUCCAUCUCUUCUGCCUUGUGAGGACACAGUGUUCAUCCCUUUUGUCUUCCCACCAUUUGAAGAUGCAGAAAGAAGGUGCCAUCUUGGAAGCAAAGAGCAGCCCUCACCAGACACCAAGUCUGCUGGCAUGUUGAUCUUGGACUUCCCAGCCUCCAGGACUGUGAGAAAUGAAUUUCUGUUGUUUAUAAAUUACCUAGUCUAAGGUAUGCUGUUAUAGUAGCAGGAAUGGACUAAGACACACAUUGUCAAAAUCUUCAUGAGUUAAAGGUGAAGGUACAAUCAGAACUGGUGCAUGGAAUUGGAACCAUAGGUCUUAGUAAACACCGUAAAAAUGCACUAUUCAAAUCUAUAGAAAAUGCUCUCUCUUCAAGUUCAGAAAGAAGCUACAAUCUGCUUUUCCUUUUUUUCUGAAGGGAAGUAAAAUUCUAUGUUUCUGGACUAAGAGAUCUACACCCCAGUCUUUCUCUUUCUGACAUGUAUAGUAACCUUUGGCAAAUUACUCAAGCUUUCUUUGUUCUGGUGAAAAUAAAGUGCACAGGACAGUAUUACUAAGAGGCCUGAGCAACAUUAGAGGUUGAUAACGAUGGUUCCAAAGGCCUUUAAGAAGGUGUAAUGCUAUGUGGAUGUUUUUAUUGAAACCUCCCCUGGGUUUUCAGAAUUCUCUUUGGAAUUAGUCCUGUGGGAAUAUGCCUUUUGGGAUCUAUUCUCACCUCUUAUUCAGUCCCCCUUUUCUUGUAUUAAAAUCUAUAAUUUGAAGUUAUUCUGUCAUUUAAAAAUUAGGUCCAUAACCUCAUCAUCACUGGGUUUUCCUCUCCAGACCAUUUCCAGUAGAAUGUUGGUCAUAUUCCCAUGUGAGAGAACAAAUCAGUUAUUCAUUACAUCUGAUCAAUGAGCUAGUACUACACCAUAAGGAAGUGUAGUAAAACCAGAAACUGGGAAACACCAGAAAAAAUUUGCUUUGUCCUGUGUUUUAAUUUGGGGUAUGAUAAAGUGCCACAGGACAUUAAUCCAGGGACUGAGAUAGACUCUUAAGUUUGGCAAUCAGUAAAAGAACUUGCUGAAUCUCUCUAGACUUAACCUAAAGGAGCCAGCCUCUUUUCUCACGAGAACACUUUAUUUUAGGGUUAGUGGUGAAUUAAUUCUACAGUGUUUAAUUCCACAUAUAAACUUCAUUUUCUAUAUAAAUGUUUUGUUGUAACAUAUUCAAUUACUUUCUUUUGUUGUUUUUCUGAAACAUUCCCUUUUUCACCUUUUCUAACCUCUUAAACCAAAUAAAAAACUCACUUAUCUUCUUGCUGUUGUAA